GUAUGUGCUGUGCUAGGUGCCACGGGCUGGGGAUGCCAGGGGGAGCAAGGCAUGCUCCGUGCCCUUAAUGAGCUCAUAAUCUAAUGAACCCUGUAAGUACUGGGCGUUGCAUAGGAGAAGCCCAGGAGUUGGUUGAGACAGGAAGAGCCUGGCAGCUUGGAGGUCCAGGAGAAGGGAGGGCAGAGUCCAGAAGAGCAGAGAUAAUGCCCCAGGAGCAGGUGACACCCGGGCCUGGAAAGCAUCCAUGGUUCCGGCAGACCCUGAGUGGGUGGGUGACAGCAGCAGCAGCAGCAAAGACAACAUCUUCGACUUCGACUUCAGUCUUCAGAGCCAAAAGGUGGAGUUCAGCCGGGGUGGGGUGGGGGUCGGUCCUGGGCUGCCAUUUUUCUGCGGCUCUGUCAAAUAAAAGGGUGCCAGGUGUGGAGGCACCCUAGUGUGAGCUUUGCACAGCUGGACCAAGGCCGGGAAGAGGAGUGUGGAGAGAGAUGCUUACAUCUCCUCCCCUUCCUGGAAAAUAGCUUUGCAUUUGAAGGGAGAAAGAACGAGUUGAGUAAAUUUGUAACUGGGAUUUGGUGGCUUGGGGAUUUCAUUUCACCCGGUGAAGGCACAUGCCUAUGCCUGUCUGUGUGUAGGGGUGUGUGAACUGGGGGGAGGAAACUCCAGGCUACAUAUGAUGGGUUUUUUGGAUUGGGCUUUUAUUUUUUAAAAAAGUCAUACCAGCUGCCAUUUAUUGGGGAUCCACUCACUAUGUGCGAGGCAUUGUCCUGGACCCUUUACCAGGUAUUAUUUUUAUGUGAAGAAAAAAAAUAUCUCACUAGUUUGUUUUCCUGCAGGUGCACUCGGAGACAUCGAGUAUUUUUUCCAUUUGUGUUAAAAUACAGUGCUCUGCUCUGAGGUAAGAUUUGGGGAGAGGCGGGGAAGGGUGCAGGGACGGGCAGAGGGCGUCCCUGUCUCGCUUUUCUCCACCUUUUAUUUUGACCGGUCCGAUGGUGACAGGCUCGCACUAGGACCCAGGCGCCAGAGCGCCUCCGUCUGUCCUGUAGGUUCAUUCAAUCUCCCAUACACACAGACCCACUGCGAGACAGACACACACUCACACACACUCACACACACAACUGCACACAGCGAGGCUCGGGAAGUCAGGUCGCCUCCUCGCCUCGGCGCCUCCUCCGCUCCGGCCAGCCGGGUCUUCUCCAGGGACCGGAGCUCGGCGGGGCCGCGCAGCCCCAAAAGAGGACGAGCU
rnacentral:lncRNA from 1 species